rnacentral:rRNA from 1 species
AGUGAACGCUGGCGGCGUGCUUAACACAUGCAAGUCGAACGAGAACGGGUUAUAGCUUGCUAUAAUUGUCAGCUAAGUGGCGCACGGGUGAGUAAUGUAUAGGUAAUACGCCUCUUACUAAGGGAUAACAAAUGGAAACGUUUGCUAAUACCUUAUACUCCUUAUUAACAGAAGUUAAUAAGGGAAAGAUUUAUUGGUAAGAGAUUAGCCUGUAUUGUAUCAGUUAGUUGGUGGGGUAAUGGCUUACCAAGACUAUGACACAUAACUGGUUUGAGAGGAUGAUCGGUCACACUGGAACUGGGACACGGUCCAGACUCCUACGGGAGGCAGCAGUGGGGAAUAUUGCACAAUGGACGAAAGUCUGAUGCAGCAACGCCGCGUGGAGGAUGACACAUUUCGGUGCGUAAACUCCUUUUAUAUGAGAAGAUAAUGACGGUAUUAUAUGAAUAAGCACCGGCUAACUCCGUGCCAGCAGCCGCCGUAA